rnacentral:rRNA from 1 species
UGGGGAAUAUUGGACAAUGGGCGCAAGCCUGAUCCAGCCAUGCCGCGUGAGUGAUGAAGGCCCUAGGGUGGUAAAGCUCUUUCACCGGUGAAGAUAAUGACGGUAACCGGAGAAAAAGCCCCGGCUAACUUCGUGCCAGCAGCCGCGGUAAUACGAAGGGGGCUAGCGUUGUUCGGAUUUACUGGGCGUAAAGCGCACGUAGGCGGACUUUUAAGUCAGGGGUGAAAUCCCGGGGCUCAACCCCGGAACUGCCUUUGAUACUGGAAGUCUUGAGUAUGGUAGAGGUGAGUGGAAUUCCGAGUGUAGAGGUGAAAUUCGUAGAUAUUCGGAGGAACACCAGUGGCGAAGGCGGCUCACUGGACCAUUACUGACGCUGAGGUGCGAAAGCGUGGGGAGCAAACAGG